GACGAACGCUGGCGGCGUGCUUAACACAUGCAAGUCGAACGGAAAGGCCUCUUUCGGGGGGUACUCGAGUGGCGAACGGGUGAGUAACACGUGAGUAACCUGCCCUUGUCUUUGGGAUAACUUCAGGAAACUGGGGCUAAUACCGGAUAGGAGCUCCUGCUGCAUGGUGGGGGUUGGAAAGUUUCGGCGGUUGGGGAUGGACUCGCGGCUUAUCAGCUUGUUGGUGGGGUAGUGGCUUACCAAGGCUUUGACGGGUAGCCGGCCUGAGAGGGUGACCGGCCACAUUGGGACUGAGAUACGGCCCAGACUCCUACGGGAGGCAGCAGUGGGGAAUAUUGCACAAUGGGUGGAAGCCUGAUGCAGCAACGCCGUGUGCGGGAGGACGGCCUUCGGGUUGUAAACCGCUUUCGCUCAUGACGAAGCUUUGUGUGACGGUAGUGGGUAAAGAAGCACCGGCUAACUACGUG
rnacentral:rRNA from 1 species